GGAAAUCAUCGUAGGCCAUGCAAAUAUUUUGUAAGCUGAUUUUUCCAUGUACCUAAGAAAUUAUUUAAGUUUUUCAUUCUGUAUUCAGCUUUGGUUGUGCCUAGACCCAAAGUAAAUCAGUAAAUCAUUAAAUUUUUCUCAUUAUUCCUAAAAAGUGUCAAAACAAAAACUAAAUUAUUUUUUUUUUUAACGGAACGAAAAAAUUUUUCUUAACGGGCAAAUAUUAAAUCUGUAAAUUGGUAUCACCAGAGCUUGUCCUUAAAUUUGCGUCAAUGCGAGGUAGCUAUGGG